CAAGAAUCUGAGACUCAGAGAGAAGGAGCUUACUCAUAGAAUCACAGCAAGUCAUCGGCUCAAAAGCACUUCAUUUUUAUCUGUUAUUCUCGUGCUACCAUGAACAUUUUGGGACAAUAGCAGUGACACAAUAUAUACUGUCGUUUAUGACAAAGUUCAUAUGCUAAAGAUUUGUCAAAUGCCACCGAUGCCAGAGAACGUGUGUGACAAGCUCCUUUAAUUGAGUAUCCUGGAAUUCUGCGUUGGAACUCAUUUUUACAUUCCAUGCAGGUUGAAUGAAUAUUUAUGGAAACUUAACCAGUGAUGUCACUAAGGAUAGUAAGAGCAACUAAAACAGAUAAAAGCAAGGACAAAAAAUGUAGGCUCUCAGGCUAUAAAUUAAGGAGGGAUUCACUGGGAAAUAGUUUUAUCACUACAUUUUAGAGUCUUAUCAAACUAUCCUGAAAAAAAAAAAAAAAAAAAAAACAAGAAAAGUAAAAUGCACCCUUGGGUAGUCUGGAAAUCUAUUAAAGACUCUUUUGUAGGAGUCCACAGUGGCCACCCCUGGAAGCCUGGUGUUUAAAAAAGCAGGCCUUAAUUAAGCCGAUUAGUCAUGCUAUGCCCUAAAGCUCUAUUCUGAUAAUUGGCCUUGCUGGAUUAGAUCACAAACAAAGAAUAUACCCAGUCCAAUUUGCUUGCCAAGGGAAAUACAAACAUUUCCACUUACAGUUUACACAGAACGUUCUUUUUUUUUUUUAAUCUCCUCAAAUUCCUUUUACCAUGUACGGAAUGUUCUAUAAACACCAACCUCCAUUAAGAGAUAACUGUUGUAUCAGGUACAGCACCUACCAGAGAGGACUGCGAUUCUGGAGUGAUCUGUGUUUCAAACUACAAAUUAUCUGGACCUCAUCAUUAAAAUGAGUCAGAUUUGUGGAAUUAGUAGCCCAAUGGAUACAACUCAGAGAUGAGAUGUUUGCCCAGGUUAGACAGCAUAGAACAAAAGAAACAAGAAGAGGAUGACAGCAACACGGUUUCAGAAGCUGGAAAGCUGAUGGAUGACCAGUGCCUAACAGCAUGAGAGAAAACAAACACUAAGACAUUGCAGAAAUACUGGAAGUGACCACGUGUACACUGCUAUGCAAUCGCCCAAAGGCUAAGGCCUUAGUGACCUUAUAGGGGUGGGGGUGAAAGUGCGUUAUGAAAACAGGAGGCUGGUUGAAGUCUCUUCAAGAAGCAGUUAUUGAGAACCCCUCUCCCCUUGGCCAAGGGAGUGCCACACUUUCCCCUUCAAUUCCAAGGUUUCAUGUCGAAAGAGGACAGAGUUAGGGGUGCCUAGACUGGGGGCAAUCUGCACAGUUGGGGCACUGGCAGCACACAGAGGAUAGGGAGCUUCAGGGAAGGAUCCCACAACCCUUCUCUCCCACUCAGCCGUGGAAUGCUGGCAGCUGGACUCAGCCCCUCUGAACAGUGGACUGGGGAGCUUUCUCUGGGGAAUCUCAUUUAACUUUAAAGGGAAGCUGCCUGCUCAUUCUCCAGGGGGAGGAACCUAUGUUGAUAAGCUCCUCCCCAAUAAACAGUCCAUCCAGCAGCUUUUUAAGUGUACCCCCCAAAACAUGAGUAAACAGCCAAGAAAACACUAAACAUUUGAGAAUUGCCUCUAAUAUCAAAGACAGGUAGAAAAAAAUUAAGAUGGAUGAAGCUGGGAUUAUAAAGCAUGUAGAGGACAUGUGGAAAACUGCCAUUAAGAUCUCAGAAAAGGAUGGUAGUGUACCUAUGAACCAGGGCAGGGUGCUAUGAGGAAACUUCAGGGAGCAUACAUGCUCCUGGAAGUUAAAAAUGACAGGAGAAAUGGAAAACAAUAGGAGGGUUAGAAAAUCAGAGAAACAGUCUCCAAAUUAAAGAAACAAGACUGUGAAGAAAGAAAACAGAAGGGAUCAAAGAAAUAAUGAUUUCUGAGAAUUAACAGUCAUGAGUUUCUAGUUCGAAAGGCAUGCUGAGCCCCUAUACCAUGCAAUUUCAGAACACUGGAACAAAGAAGAUCCUGCCAACUUCCAGAGAGAAAAAAUGGAGGAAUGGCAUCUGGCUUCUCUGCAGCAGUGGCUUCAGCAUUCCCAGGGGAAAUCACUUUCAUGCUAGAACCCUACCUAGUUCCAAUCCCAGCCUAGUUAUCAAUCAAGUUUUAGGUAAAAUAAAUACACUUUCAGAUGGGCAAGAUCCCCCCAGAGAUAUUUCCUUUGCAUUAUUUUUUUCAGAAACAAUUGGAAGAUUUGCUCUGCCCAAAGAGCAAAGCAAAGAGGAAUAAGACGCAGGAGCAGGAAAUGGGCACCCAAUCAGCAGGGUGAAAGGAACUCCUGGGUCGACAGUGAAGAAAGAUGCCAAGAUGGGCAGUGUAGGAGGCAAGGAUCACCAGUCCAGAGGGAAGCAGGCAGAAGGUUUUGGGAGAGAUCACCUCAAGAAGAUGAACUUGACAUACUAGUUGAUGUGUGUUGAAAGGAGAUUCAUCUGACUGGGAAAGGACUUGGAGACACAUUAUCAUUAGUAUCAAUCACAUAAAAAAAGUAAAGCAAACAGAAAUUAAGACAAAUAUUAACUCCAGAGAAAACAAAAGCUGGGCGAGAAAGGAAGAGUAGUCAUUCUAUCCUUGAUGGUUUGAGGGCGAGAAAGGAAGAGUACUCAUUCUAUCCUUGAUACAGAUACUGACCUAGCUGCAACUGCAAUACGGAUGGGGAGACUGCCUGGACGGGAAGUGGCUGGGAAAGUACACAUUCUUCGUUUCCACAUGAAAGCCCCAACUUCAAAAUCAGCAAGGAGCAAUAUAAUAAGCAGAAUAUUUGUAGAUAUGGGGAGUACAUAACCAAAAGACCGGCUAAAAGAAUUGAGGAGGAAAUAGGGAGAGGUGGCCUGGAGGGCCGCUGUAUUUCACAAAGGCUUUGAGAACCCCUGACUCUAGAUCACAGGCAUCCCAAUGUUGAUAAAGGGAAAAACGCAUUUAAAACUAUAACCAACGCUGGGUGCGGUGGAAUAUGCCUGUAAUCCCAACACUUUGGGAGGCCGAGGCAGGUGGAUCACCAGAGGUUGGGAGUUUGAGACCAGCCUAACCAACAUGGAGAAACCCCAUCUCUACUAAAAAUACAAAAUUAGCCAAGCAUUGUGGCACACGCCUGUAGUCCCAGCUGCUUGGGAGGCUGAGGCAGGAGAAUAGCUUGAACUGGGAGGCAGAUGUUGCAGUGAGCCGAGAUCACGCCACUGCACUUCAGCCUGGGCAACAAGUUUGAAACUCCAUCUCAAAAACACACAAAAAAACAAACAAACUAAAAACCACAACAAAAUUAGCUGGGUAUGGUGGCGCAUGCCUGUAAUCCUAGCUACUUUGGGAGGCUGAGGCAUGAGAAUUGCUUGAACUGGGAGGCGGAGGUUGUAGUAAGCUGAGAUUGCACCAUUGCACUCCAUUCUGGGAAAAAAAGUGUGCAACUCCCUCUCAAAAAAACAAAAUAAAACAAAACCCAACAACAAAAAAUUAUAACCAAAACACCUCAGUCAUUGAGGAAACCAUCUCCUCCAGAGUAACAGCCCUACAGACUUGGGAGGCUCAGCUGCCUUCAUGGAGAACCCAACAGAAUCACCUACCUUUGAUGCAUUUCCGGCUUUCAGGGCCCUCACGUGCUCCCCUUGAGUGGUGACGCUGUUGAACAGCUCCAGUGGAGAGGCACAGGCCUCACUGUUGGCCAUGUUAGCCAUGUCUCAGAAUGGCUGGCCAGGGGUCAGAGGCUUUGUUCAGCAGAGGAGUCAAGACUGGGGGGAAAAAGGAGAGAGAGGGAAAAAGAGAGAUUAACAAAACACUGCAGCUGUUUUUUCUUUCCUGGAUUGAGUCCAUUUUUCUGAAGAGGUUGUGAGGUGAGUUACAAUAAAGGACAUGGAUAAUACGAUAAAAAGAGAAGCAGAAAUUUGGGGCCACGAAAAAGAGGAAAAGUGGAAGAACAAAUGUCAAUGAUGAGGACUAAAGGAGUGACUAGGAUUUACUGACUUAAGAUCUACAAAAGAGAGGGCCUCCUAGUUAAGACUGAGUUUGCAUUUGGUGAUGUCCCCUGUACCCCACCCAGUGCCCAGAACAUGACUCCUGUUUGCUUCAGGGUAUAAUAAACACCAAUGUGUUUUAAUAAACCUAAGUUCACUAGUGCUAUACACAUUUGACAAAUUACUAAAUUACUAUAUGCUGUUUUGUUUUGUUUUUUGACAUUGGAGCACAAUCUCAAAAAGGGUAAUCACACCAGGCUGGAGUGCAGUGGUGCAAUCUCGGCUCACUGCAACCUCUGCGUCCCGGGUUCAAGAGAUUCUUCUGCUCAGCCUCCUGAGCAACUGGGAUUAUAGGCGCCUGCCACCAAGCCCAGUGAAUUUUUGUGUUUUUAGUAGAGGCGGGGUUUCAUCAUGUUGGCCAGGCUGGUCUUGAACUCCUGAUCUCAGGUGAUCCGCUUGCCUCAGCCUCCCAAAGUGUUGGGAUUACAGGCGUGAGCCACAGCAUCCAGCCACGAUUUGCUGUUUAUCUUAAUUGCCUUGGGGAUGAAUUCUCAGGCCUUUGCAGCCAUAACCAAUAUACUGCUGAGCAAGUAUCUUCCAUUGCUGGCCAGCUGCUCUCAGACAAAGUGAGCUCUGGGGUGGAAGACAGGGCCUUACCUGUCCCAGGUUCCACACAGGGUAAGGACUGUCUGCAAUGUGUCUGUUCCACAUACUGCCUUAUUUAACUAUAAACCUUUGGAGAAGGUGUGUCUGCACCUCCUAGUAGUCAUUAUUCACCAUUACCCUUGCAGAAGGUAGGGACGUGGCAGACAGAGACUGUGCCGCCUUCAACCCCUUCUUGGCUCAAUCACUUCCUCUACUUUUUUUUUUUAGAGAAGGGGUUUCACUCUUGUUGCCCAGGCUGGAGUGCAAUGGUGCGAUCUCAGCUCCCAGGUUCAAGAGAUUCUCCUGCCUCAGACUCCCAAGAGCUGGGAUUACAGGCAAGCAUCACCAUGCCCAGCUAAUUUUGUAUUUUAGUUGAGACAGGGUUUCUCCAUGUUGGUCAGGCUGGUCUCGAAUCCUGACCUCAGGUGAUUCACCCGCCUUGGCCUCUGAAAAUGCUCAAAUUACAGGUGUGAGUCAUUGCACUCAGAAUCACUUCUUCUUUCUGACUGUCAGUUUCCUCACCUAUACAAUGGCACCACAAGGAACUUCUUCAUCUAUCCCAGGCUCUUAGGAGAACAAAAUGAGAAGAAAAGGCAUGGUAGCACUUUGUAAACCGUAAAGCAAGAUGUAACUACAUUACAAGUACUGUUAUUAAUGUUCUUUUGUUUCUUAGGGUUCCAAAGAUUGGCUGAACUCCAGCUUCUUUUAACUUGCUGUAAAACCUUGGAGGAGGACAAUGAGAAGGCUAGUGUCUGAGCUGCUAACUUUGAACACCUCUGUACCUGUUAUUGUUCUAAGCACCUUAUAUGUGUCAAUUCACUUAAGCCUUACGGUAGUCCUAUGAAAUAGAUUUGUUAUCUCCAUUUUAUAGAUGAGGCACAGAGGGGUUAAAAAAAAACUUGCCCAAGGCUUGGCAUGGUGGCUCAUACCUGUAAUCCUGGCAUUUGGGGCAAUACAGUGACUCUACAAAAAAACGAAAAAAAAAAAAAAAAAAAAAAAAUUAGCUGGGCAUAGUGGUGUGCCUGUAAUCCCAGCUACUUGGGAGGCUGAAGCAGGAGGAUCACUUGAGCCCAGGAGUUUGAGGCUUCAGUGAGCUAUGUUUGUGCUACUGUACUCCAGCCUGGGUGACAGAGUAAGACCCUGUCUCUAAAAAAAAAAAAAUGUUAGAUAUAGUGAACCCCAAGUUUCUCUUCAAAAGAAUCAGUAUGUCAGUAUGGUCAGCUUUCUUAUUAUUUAAUUCUCUAUUUUAAAGUUUAACUUUCUUGUAGUUUCAGUAAACAACCUUUUCUACCAGUUCUAAUCAGUAGUUCACAUCUGUCUCCCUCCCCCUGGCCCCCCCCCCCGCCCCCCCCAUCCCCUGCCCUGACCCAUCCUGGUAACCUGCUUUGACCCCUGCUUAUCUGCUCUGACCUGCCCAUAACCGUCCUUCCAGCCAAACCUGCUCCCUUUAAAAUAGCCAACUGGAAUUAGACUAGACUGUGCAGCCUAACCCAGCCAACAGGGGAACGACACAGCAGUAGGGGCAACCUUCGUCGGGGCAUAAGUACCCCUUCCCCUCCCUGUAACAGGUGUGUGCUUACCAUUGCUCCGUCUGUGACCGGCACCCUUCUACAGAAGUAAACGGCCUUGCUGAGAGGAAUUAUCUUCAAGUGCUAUUUCUUUUGUGGCAUCAAAAUUUUACUUAUAACAAAAAAAUAAAAUAAAAUAAAAGCUUGCCCAUGUUAACAUCACAAAUAAAUGGGAGACAUGGGCUAUAAACUCUAGUAGUUUGACUCUAGAGCCUACGCUCUCAACCAUUAUCCUACCAAUGACUUAACUCUGUGAAUUAAACAUAUACAUUUGUGGUGUCAA